UACGGAGGAUCCAAGCGUUAUCCGGAUUUAUUGGGUUUAAAGGGUGCGUAGGCGGCUUUUUAAGUCAGGGGUGAAAGACGGUAGCUCAACUAUCGCAGUGCCCUUGAUACUGAAGAGCUUGAAUGUACUUGAGGUAGGCGGAAUGUGACAUGUAGCGGUGAAAUGCAUAGAUAUGUCACAGAACACCAAUUGCGAAGGCAGCUUACUAAAGUAUGAUUGACGCUGAGGCACGAAAGCGUGGGGAUCAAACAGG
rnacentral:rRNA from 1 species